rnacentral:rRNA from 1 species
GACGUAGGGCGCGAGCGUUGUCCGGAUUUAUUGGGCGUAAAGAGCUCGUAGGCGGCUUGUCGCGUCGACUGUGAAAUCCCGAGGCUCAACCUCGGGUCUGCAGUCGAUACGGGCAAACUUGAGUGUUGCAGGGGAGACUGGAAUUCCUGGUGUAGCGGUGAAAUGCGCAGAUAUCAGGAGGAACACCAAUGGCGAAGGCAGCUCGCUGGGACGGUACUGACGCUGAGGCGCGAAAGCGUGGGGAGCAAACAGG